GGGCCCGCACAAGCGGUGGAGCAUGUGGUUCAAUUCGAAGCAACGCGCAGAACCUUACCAGGCCUUGACAUCCCGGUCGCGGCCCCUUGAAAGAGGGGCCUUCAGUUCGGCUGGACCGGUGACAGGUGCUGCAUGGCUGUCGUCAGCUCGUGUCGUGAGAUGUUGGGUUAAGUCCCGCAACGAGCGCAACCCUUGCCCUUAGUUGCCAUCAUUAAGUUGGGCACUCUAAGGGGACUGCCGGUGAUAAGCCGCGAGGAAGGUAGGGAUGACGUCAAGUCCUCAUGGCCCUUACGGCCUGGGCUACACACGUGCUACAAUGGCGGUGACAGUGGGCAGCAAUGGCGCGAGCCGGAGCUAAUCUCUAAAAGCCGUCUCAGUUCGGAUUGCACUCUGCAACUCGGGUGCAUGAAGUUGGAAUCGCUAGUAAUCGUGGAUCAGCAUGCCACGGUGAAUACGUUCCCGGGCCUU
rnacentral:rRNA from 1 species